rnacentral:rRNA from 1 species
CCCGGCAGCUAGCUCUCUACAAAUCUCAGAUGGUCGCCCACUGAAAUGAAGCAGGGCUGUGCCCGGUUAGUACCUGGAUUGGAGAUCACACGGAAAAGCAAUGUCUAUGCCAGAA